GGUUGUAUGGUGUAGUGGUAGCACAUAGGAUUUUGAUGACUGUUCUCAGAAACCUUCCUGUGACCUGGGUUCGAUCCCCAGUACGACCU